rnacentral:rRNA from 1 species
AUUGAACGCUGGCGGCAUACUUUACACAUGCAAGUCGAACGGCAGCACGGGCUUCGGCCUGGUGGCGAGUGGCGAACGGGUGAGUAAUGCAUCGGAACGUGCCCAUGUCGUGGGGGAUAACGUAUCGAAAGGUACGCUAAUACCGCAUACGCCCUGAGGGGGAAAGCGAGGGAUCCUUCGGAACCUCGCGCGAUUGGAGCGGCCGAUGUCGGAUUAGCUAGUUGGUGGGGUAAAGGCUCACCAAGGCGACGAUCCGUAGCGGGUCUGAGAGGAUGAUCCGCCACACUGGGACUGAGACACGGCCCAGACUCCUACGGGAGGCAGCAGUGGGGAAUUUUGGACAAUGGGCGCAAGCCUGAUCCAGCCAUGCCGCGUGAGUGAAGAAGGCCUUCGGGUUGUAAAGCUCUUUCGGCCCGGAAGAAAUCGCACUCCCUAACAUAGGGUGUGGAUGACGGUACCGGACUAAGAAGCACCGGCUAACUACGUGCCAGCCGCCGCAGUAAGAC